rnacentral:lncRNA from 13 species
GAAAAUCUAAUGCCUGAUGAUUUGAGGUAAAGCAGUUUUGUCCUGAAACCAUCCCCCCAGUGCCACCCUGUUCAUGGAAAAAUGUCUUCCACAAAACUAGUUCUUAGUGCCAUAAAGGCUGGGGACUGAUGCUAUUAAACUACAUUCCUACCAACAAUAUCAACAGCUGCUUAUUUUUAUGCUUCCCUUACAGAAUAUGAUUAUCAUUUAAAUAUCUUUGAAAGAUAGCAAGUUCCUCAAUCCCUCCCUACAUUCAUGAACAAAAAUCUACUCAUGUUAAAGGUCUAACUGAAAUGCCUGAACAACUCACUCCUUAUUCAACAGUAAAUGCAUUAUUCAUUUCAUAUCUGGAUUAGAUGUUUAAUUUUUUUAUAAAUGUUUUCCUAUGACCUGUUACUGAUAGAUUUAAAUAUUCAAAUAUGUUUCCCUCUUUCCUUGAAGUUUCGAGUCAGUUGCUCUUCAGAUUCAUUUUCCACUCUUUUCAUGAGGACCUCCUUGAGCUUGAUCACCUGGGCUCCCUACCUUCUGGCCUCCAGUUGGAAUUGAAGAAGAGAAGAGGUCAUUGUCCUGAGGGCUGGAAAGAGAGACUGGGGUUCAAUUGAGUUAAUCGUUUUCUAAUGCUCACUCCGACACAAUAUACAUUGUAAAACUGCUGAUUCUUUUCAAAAUGGAUAUGACAGAAUAAAAGGAGUAGAAGAGAAUCA